UGGGGAAUUUUGGACAAUGGGCGAAAGCCUGAUCCGGCAAUGCCGCGUGUGUGAAGAAGGCCUUCGGGUUGUAAAGCACUUUUGUCCGGAAAGAAAUCCUUGGCUCUAAUACAGUCGGGGGAUGACGGUACCGGAAGAAUAAGCACCGGCUAACUACGUGCCAGCAGCCGCGGUAAUACGUAGGGUGCAAGCGUUAAUCGGAAUUACUGGGCGUAAAGCGUGCGCAGGCGGUUUGCUAAGACCGAUGUGAAAUCCCCGGGCUCAACCUGGGAACUGCAUUGGUGACUGGCAGGCUAGAGUAUGGCAGAGGGGGGUAGAAUUCCACGUGUAGCAGUGAAAUGCGUAGAGAUGUGGAGGAAUACCGAUGGCGAAGGCAAUCCCCUGGGCCUGCACUGACGCUCAUGCACGAAAGCGUGGGGAGCAAACAGGAUUAGAUACCCUGGUAGUCCACGCCCUAAACGAUGUCAACUAGUUGUUGGGGAUUCAUUUCCUUAGUAACGUAGCUAACGCGUGAAGUUGACCGCCUGGGGAGUACGGUCGCAAGAUUAAAACUUAAAUGAAUUGACGGGGUCAUAGCUGUUUCCU
rnacentral:rRNA from 1 species